AAGACUAUAGACCUGCGGAGUACCUGCGGAAGGAUCAUUAAAAAAUUAGUAGAGUUGUAGCCCAACUCUCACUAAAAACCCUUUGUGAAUCUUACCUGUUCUUGUUGCUUCGGCAGGCGGGUAGCAUGCUGCUCCUGUUAAAAGCCUGUAUUUUCAGGUGCCUGCCGAAUGUAUUCAACUUUAAACUCUGUUAAACUAUAUUACAUCUGAAUAUUAUUAAAAAAAAUUAAAUCAAAACUU
rnacentral:misc_RNA from 1 species